UACGUAGGGGGCAAGCGUUGUCCGGAAUCAUUGGGCGUAAAGCGCGUGUAGGCGGCCCAGUAAGUCCGCUGUGAAAGCCCAGGGCUCAACCCUGGGAUGCCGGUGGAUACUGUUGGGCUCGAGUCCGGAAGAGGCGAGUGGAAUUCCCGGUGUAGCGGUGAAAUGCGCAGAUAUCAGGAAGAACACCCGUGGCGAAAGCGGCUCUCUGGAACGGUACUGACGCUGAGACGCGAAAGCGUGGGGAGCGAACAGG
rnacentral:rRNA from 1 species